rnacentral:lncRNA from 10 species
AAUUGCAUCAUCAGCAGAUGGCGGAUCCAGACUUGUUGGAAGAGUCCUCAUCCCUCUUGGAGCCAAGUGAGAUGGGAAGAGGCACUCCUUUAAGACUUGGCUUCGUGGCUGGUGUCAUUAACCGGGAGCGCAUCCCUACUUUUGAGCGCAUGCUUUGGCGGGUAUGCCGGGGAAAUGUGUUCCUGCGACAGGCUGAAAUCGAGAACCCCCUGGAGGAUCCUGUGACUGUAAGACAAGGAGAUUGCAUCCUGUGGAGUAGGUCUUGUAAAGGGAGCCCAGAGCAGUAACGUAGCAUGGGGCCACCUGAAUCCAGUGCUUCCACAGAGGAGCCAUUAUCUUUAUCUCUGCUCUAAUUGGAGAAUUUGAAGUACUUCCUCUUAGUUAAUUCCUGUCAUAUAUACAUAUGGAUGUAUGAUGUAUACAUGACAUAUACAUAUUUUCAAGUUUACCCGUGUAGAUGUUAUUCUGAUUGGAAAUUUUUAUUUUCACUCAUUUGCCUUUUAUGAAAAUUAACUUUAAAGCAAGACAUCUGGUUCCAAAUUUGGUAAUUUUUUUUUUUUUGAGGUGGAGUCUCACUCUGUUGUCCA